rnacentral:rRNA from 1 species
CCUACGGGUGGCAGCAGUGAGGAAUAUUGGUCAAUGGCCGGAAGGCUGAACCAGCCAAGCCGCGUGAAGGACGAAGGUGCCAAGCAUUGUAAACUUCUUUUGUCAAGGGAUAAAAUCAGCCACGAGAGCCUGACCGAGUGUACCAGAAGAAAAAGCAUCGGCUAACUCCGUGCCAGCAGCCGCGGUAAUACGGAGGAUGCGAGCGUUAUCCGGAUUUAUUGGGUUUAAAGGGGGCGUAGGCGGGCUGUUAAGUCAGCGGGAAAAGCCCGGGGCUCAACCCCGACGAGCCGUUGAAACUGGCUGUCUUGAGAUGUCGAGAGGUAUGCGGAAUGCGCGGUGUAGCGGUGAAAUGCUUAGAUAUUGCGCAGAACUCCGAUUGCGAAGGCAGCAUACCGGCGGCGAUCUGACGCUGAGGCACGAAAGCGUGGGUAUCGAACAGGAUUAGAUACCCCGGUAGUC